CUGAAAAAGAGGCCAAUGCAUCUACUCAACUAUACUAAGCUCAACUAAGCAAAGUGAAAUGCCCUAGUGACUAGUCCUUUGGUCUAUAUUACAGGGUCUAGCAAAUGUUCAUUUCAAUUCUCGCUUCUCUGUAAACAUUAGUACUAAAGUACUGAGUACCUUUCCUUGUUUGUUACUGAUAAUACUUACAUGUUAUUCAAUUGAUAAUACUUACAUUUUAAUCUACUUCUACGUGUGAUUUUCAUUGUGUUGGGUAUUUAUAACGUCAAAACUCCAAGACAUACCUUAAACAUGGCAACACUAAAUGUAACC